UAGCUAGUUGGUGGGGUAAGGGCCUACCAAGGCGACGAUCGGUAGCUGGUCUGAGAGGAUGGCCAGCCACACUGGGACCGAGACACGGCCCAGACUCCUACGGGAGGCAGCAGUGGGGAAUAUUGGACAAUGGGGGCAACCCUGAUCCAGCAAUGCCGCGUGUGUGAAGAAGGCCUGAGGGUUGUAAAGCACUAUCAGUGGGGAGGAGAGAUGGUAGGUUAAGAGCUAACUAUUGAGACGUUGCCCACAGAAGCAGCACCGGCUAACUCCGUGCCAGCAGCCGCGGUAAUACGGAGGGUGCAAGCGUUAAUCGGAAUGACUGGGCGUAAAGGGUGCGUAGGUGGUUUGAUAAGUUAGUUGUGAAAUCCCCGGGCUCAACCUGGGAGGGUCAACUAAGACUGUUGGACUAGAGUGUAGGAGAGGGUAGCGGAAUUUCCGGUGUAGCGGUGAAAUGCGUAGAGAUCGGAAGGAACACCAGUUGCGAAGGCGGCUACCUGGCCUAAGACUGACACUGAGGUACGAAAGCGUGGGUAGCAAACAGGAUUAGAUACCCUGGUAGUCCACGCUGUAAACGAUGUCAACUAGCUGUUGGCCUUAUUGAAGAGGUUAGUGGCGC
rnacentral:rRNA from 1 species